rnacentral:misc_RNA from 1 species
UAAUUACAAUAAUUUCUUUUUAUUCUUAAAGUUAAAAUGUAAAUUGAAGCUUUUAAUUAAGUACGAGAUCAAAAAUACUUUAUGACCUUUCAUUUAGCCAUAACUUGAUGAUUGUGAAGUUUAUGCAUUUAUGUGUUCUUCUAGUGAAGCAAUCCUCAAGCAAGGAAGUUGCAUAUAAAGCAAUAGCAUUCCGUUUUUUUUUUUUGGUUUCUUAUA